rnacentral:tRNA from 1 species
GCCGAUUUAGCUCAGUUGGUAGAGCAAGGCACUCGUAAAGCCUAGGUCACAGGUAGAUAAACGACU